GUGGGGAAUAUUGCACAAUGGGCGCAAGCCUGAUGCAGCGACGCCGCGUGAAGGAUGAAGUAUUUCGGUAUGUAAACUUCUAUCAGCAGGGAAGAAAAUGACGGUACCUGACUAAGAAGCCCCGGCUAACUACGUGCCAGCAGCCGCGGUAAUACGUAGGGGGCAAGCGUUAUCCGGAUUUACUGGGUGUAAAGGGAGCGUAGAUGGCAUGGCAAGUCUGAAGUGAAAGCCCGGGGCUUAACCCCGGGACUGCUUUGGAAACUGUUAAGCUAGAGUGCAGGAGGGGUAAGCGGAAUUCCUAGUGUAGCGGUGAAAUGCGUAGAUAUUAGGAGGAACACCGGUGGCGAAGGCGGCUUACUGGACUGUAACUGACAUUGAGGCUCGAAAGCGUGGGGAGCAAACAGGAUUAGAAACCCUAGUAGUCC
rnacentral:rRNA from 1 species